rfam:Picea glauca, whole genome shotgun sequence.
ACAUGCCUAUAACAUAGUGUUAAUGCACUGGAUCCCACUAGAACUCUGCAGUUAAGCAUGCUCAGGAUAUAAUAUUGUUGGGAUGGGUGACUACAUGGGAAGUCCUAGUUUUUUACAUGCC